rnacentral:rRNA from 1 species
CACGUAGGGCGCAAGCGUUGUCCGGAAUUAUUGGGCGUAAAGAGCUCGUAGGCGGUCUGUUGCGUCCGCUGUGAAAACUCGGGGCUUAACCCCGAGCCUGCAGUGGAUACGGGCAGACUAGAGGUAGGUAGGGGAGAAUGGAAUUCCCGGUGUAGCGGUGAAAUGCGUAGAUAUCGAGAGGAACACCUGCGGCGAAGGCGGGUUGCUGGGCUGACACUGACGCUGAAGCGCGAAAGCUAGGGGAGCGAACGGG